rnacentral:tRNA from 1 species
GGGGCUGUGGCUCAAAGGUAGAGCGCUUGCCUACCAUGCGUGAGGCACUGGGUUCGAUCCUCAGCACCA